CAGAUCAGCUCCGACUUCGGGGCCCCCCUCUGCUCCAUGGAUGUGGACAGCGAUGGCAGCACCGAUCUGGUCCUCAUCAGGGCCCCCCACAGGUCUACAAGCAGACCCGAGGGGGCCAGGUGUCCGUGUGCCCCUUGCCCAGGGGAGUGAGUGGCUGCCGGUGGUGGUGUGAGAUCACUCUCUGUGGGGAGCAGGGCCAUCCCUGGGGCCACUUUGGGGCAGCUCUGACAGUGCUGGGGGACGUCAGUGGGGACAAGCUGACAGACAUGGCUAUCGGGGUCCCGGGAAAGCAGGAGAACCGAGACGCUGUCUACCUGUUUCACGGAGCCUCGG
rnacentral:lncRNA from 1 species